UGGUGGCACCAACCGGGACUAAAGGGGUGCUUUGGUACCGGUUCGUGGCACCAACCGGGACCAAUGCCCCCCUUUAGUCCCGGUUGGUGCCACAAA
rnacentral:pre_miRNA from 1 species